rnacentral:rRNA from 1 species
CAGUCGCCACGGUAAUACGAGGGGGGCAAGCGUUGUUCGGAAUUAUUGGGCGUAAAGGGUGCGUAGGCGGCUUGACAAGUCUUGUGUGAAAUCUAUGGGCUCAACCCAUAGUCUGCACGGGAAACUGUCGGGCUUGAGAAUGGGAGAGGUGAGUGGAAUUUCCGGUGUAGCGGUGAAAUGCGUAGAUAUCGGAAGGAACACCUGUGGCGAAAGCGGCUCACUGGACCAUUUCUGACGCUGAUGCACGAAAGCUAGGGGAGCAAACAGGAUUAGAUACCCGGGUAGUCCCUGUCUCUUAUAC